AACGAACGCUGGCGGCGCGCUUAACACAUGCAAGUCGAGCGCUCAGGGGCAACUCUGGGAGCGGCGAACGGGUGCGUAACACGUGGGUAAUCUGCCUCGAGGUCCGGGAUAACUAGCCGAAAGGUUAGCUAAUACCGGGUAAGCCCACGAGCUCUCAGGAGCUUGAGGGAAAAGGCCGCAAGGUCGCCACGAGAUGAGCCCGCGGCCCAUCAGCUAGUUGGCGGGGUAACGGCCCACCAAGGCAACGACGGGUAGCUGGUCUGAGAGGACGGCCAGCCACACUGGAACUGAGACACGGUCCAGACUCCUACGGGAGGCAGCAGUGGGGAAUCUUGCGCAAUGGGCGAAAGCCUGACGCAGCGACGCCGCGUGUGCGAUGAAGGUCUUCGGAUCGUAAAGCACUGUCGCGAGGGACAAAACCGAAAGGGUGAUGGUACCUCGAAAGGAAGCACCGGCUAACUCUGUGCCAGCAGCCGCGGUAAUACAGAGGGUGCGAGCGUUGUUCGGAAUUAUUGGGCGUAAAGCGCAUGUAGGCGGCUUGUUAAGUCGCGUGUGAAAGCUCCAGGCUCAACCUGGAAAGUGCGCGCGAAACUGGCGAGCUUGAGUGCCGGAGAGGGUGGCGGAAUUCCCGGUGUAGAGGUGAAAUUCGUAGAUAUCGGGAGGAACACCAGAGGCGAAGGCGGCCACCUGGACGGACACUGACGCUGAGACGCGAAAGCGUGGGGAGCAAACAGGAUUAGAUACCCUGGUAGUCCACGCCGUAAACGAUGGAUGCUAGCUGUGUCGGGAGUUGACCCCUGACGUGGCGACGCUAACGCAAUAAGCAUCCCGCCUGGGAAGUACGGCCGCAAGGCUAA
rnacentral:rRNA from 1 species